rnacentral:lncRNA from 1 species
GGAGGAAAAGGUAUAGAAGGAGUUUUACAAUAUUAGUUUGGAGCUAGAUUGUGAAUAGAAAUAAUUUGUUUUCUUAGGGUUUAUAUUCUAGAGUUGUAAAGGAGUAAGGAGUAGUUAUUCACAAAGGUGCACUAGUUGUAAACGUGUUUUUUUGAUGAAUACAAUUUUUUAAAAAAAAUGUAAACAAUAUUGUAAAGCCGAAUAAUAAUUGGCAAAUUUACCAACUAUCGAUAACUUUUCAGAUAAAAAAGAACCAAUAAGUUUCAUACCUUUUGUAUAAUGUUAACAAAGUAUUUCGUGGAAACAAGCCUGGCCCGCAGCAGAAGCAAUCGCUUAGGACCCAAGCCUUUUUCAAUUUUUUUAGGCUAAAUUUUUUUAUUGGUUUUUUUAUUAAAAAUUACACAGUUAAAACUCAGAUUUUGUGUGGGGCCUUUACCACUCAUAAACAGGCGCUGUGUGGAAUCAGCAACCCCUACAAGUCCAGGGAUAUUUCCACUGGCGAGCGUCUACACAAACAUGGAUUAUUUAUUCUGGAGGAAGAAUGCCAUCAUUCAGCCGGACCAAGAUAGGGAUCCUUAUCCUUGGAUAAUAUGGUAUAUUUGGAAGGCUCGCAAUGAUAAACUUUUCAGAGGUAUAGAUAGAGAUCCUUUGGAGCUUGUUCGACAUGCAGAGAGUGAAUGCCAAGCAUGGUUUAAUGCAAAUGAGAUGAUUGCACCAGUAGGACAGGCCAACGAUAAUGAGGUGAACCAAGCCAUAAGUUUGGGUAGUAUUUGCAUGCUAGAUGGAUCGUGGACAGCUUCUGACAGAUUUAGUGGAUGUGGAUGGAUCUGGACUGACAGUGCGGAAAACGUGCAACUUAUGGGAACACGAAAUUUCACUCGUUGUGAAUCAGCACUACACUCGGAGGUAGAAGCACUGCGAUGGGCGAUGGAGAAUAUGCUUCAACACUCACCGUGCCAGAGAUUUGGAACAGACUGCAAAGAACUAAUCGCCAUGAUAAAGGAACCUCAGGAGUGGCCAAGCUUCGCGACAGAACUGGAAAAAAUAGAGACCCUGCAGAUUUGUUUCCCGGAAUUCGAGAUCAUCUAUGUGCCACGAGUGCGCAAUCAAUCCUCAGAUUUUUUAGCUAAGACUGCAAGAACUUUUCGUAGGGAGUUAUUUUUUAUUGGUUGUUCUAUUCCGGUCUGGUUACCCAGACCACCUCAAGUUUGAGUAAUAGAAUGGCCGUUUGACGUAAAAAAAAAAAAAAAACAGGCGCUGUGUGGAAUAUAGAAGAAAGAAAGAAAGUGAACAAGAACCUCAAUCUUUAAACAUUUCCAAAUUUAUAUAGAUACAAAUUACAAUGUAUGGUGGAAAAAAUUAUAAUACUGUUUAUUUAAAAUAUAUAUAUUAGCAGUAUUUACAAUAAAUAUUUUACCAAAAAAAACUAUAAAUAUUGAUCAUGGUGAUGGAUGAUGAGUCAGGUUCUAUGAUAAUCAUAACAAUCUAUCUAUCUAUUAUUAGAAAAUCAUGUUUGCUUCUCUCACAGGCCUCAACGUCGGAGUUCACAUAGGAAAGUCGCGCGUUCAGAAGCCGCCACAUGUCCACUUACGCAAAACGCUUCGUAUCAUUUAUUCUUCACCGUAGUGGGCUUCUUCUUCCGCGUGUUAUGAGUUUGGGCUGUGGAAUUUAGAACUGUGUCCGGCUCGAAAGAACAGAUGAUGGCGUAGAUCUAUUGUCACCUUCAUCGUCUUCAACGAUGGCAAUCCUCCAGUUCUAGGGUUCAUCCUGUUUUCGAGCUCUAUUUAGUUAAAUCAUCAAUGGAGUUUUGGUAGGGUGAUGUGAGACAAAUCUUGGUGACGUAUCCUUGGACCAAGCUGCUAUCAUGUCGUUUCGACUUGAUUUCUUCAUCUCAAAACCGUUACAGGGUGCAUUGAACAUUGCCAUUAACGACCUCCUUAAAUCCUUCUACCCACUCUAAGCACGAUUUUUCAUUCAAUGUAUCUUCCCUCUUUCAAGCGGUGGAUCUCUAACUAUAAAAAGGUGAGUCUUGGACCCGUAGACAGACCUUUCUCCAAAAAUACUCUGGCGACAAAUGGGAACUCCAAGCCAAAGAGAUUCUGCAACAAAUGUUUGCUUCUCCGUCUCCGGUAAACACAUCAGAUCUGCUCUCUCGAGACGGCAUGGCUUUGUGAAGCAGAACUCUGCGAUGAUCCCUGAAUAUAGCAAAGCGGAAGGAGGCGGAGUAGUUUUGGAUACGAGCUUUGGUGAUGAAUUUGGUCGUGACCAUUUUGGACACACACACCUACGGUUAAGUUUAAGAAAGGUGAUAACAAAGGACUACAAGUUGCUGUAAAAGUUAUUCUAAAACCAAAGGUUAGUGCUUUUUGAUUUAAUGUCUUCUGGUUCUGUACUAACGAUGAUGAGAUCUGUUGGAUUUUUUUGUAAUCUGUGUAGUUGUGUGGAGAGAAAUGAAGAUCUUGAGAGCUUUGUCUGGUCAUGAUAACCUUGCUCAUUUCUAUGAUGCAUAUGAGGAUCAUUGAUAAUGUCUACAGUGAAUGUAGUGAUAAUGCAAGUGAUUUGUUGUUUUAGGCUACGUGAAGGAGGAGAGCUUUUCGAUAGAUACUCUUAAGGUAAGGGAACAGUACACUUCCGACGUAGGAUUGUAUGUGCUAUACUGAACUUGGUGGUGUGUUUUAUGUGCAGAGGUGGGAAGUAUAUGAGUAGGACGCAGAGACUGUUAUGAUUCAAAAAAAAAAUAUGAGUUUGCAUUUUGUCAUCUCGGUGUUCUACACCUAGAUCUCAUACCUGAGGUGAUUAAAAGAAUCUUUACUUCUGUUUAUACAUAUCUUAUUGACGUUUUGUCGCCAUCUUAUUGACAUUUUCUUGAAACUCUUUGCUUAAUAUUUUUCUGUUUAUCUCAACAGAAGACACUUCUGAGUUGAAUGAAAUAGAUUCUGGUUUUAUUAGAUUACAACGAGGCGAGAAUCAACUUAUAAAAAUUGAGCUUUAGGUAAGAGACAAGUUCUUGGAUAUAUCACUCUAUCUAUGAGGGAUGAUUAAACCAAGUUGAUAAAAUAGAAGAUUAGAGCUUUAUAGAAACACUAAUUGAAAUUCAUCAUUCCCCCUACAUAUCUAUUUGUUAAUCUGCGUCAUCUUCUUUACUUCCAAAUUUUUCUUUAUGUUUGCUUCAGAGUCAAAGUAAGGAAGCGUUAACAUUUACCUCUGGGACAAGCAGCCAUAGAAUUAUGAAAAAGAAACUCAAUGCAACUCAUGAAGUGUUAAACAAAUUGUGAAACACAAAAGAAUAUUUGGGUUUCAAGUAUGCUUUGGAAACUUGGUAUAGAGACUUUGAUAUGACUUUUAGGUUUGCAAAAUGAUUGAUUUAUAUCUUCUUAUCUUUUUUUGAAAUACCUUUGUGUUCUUACUAUUCAAUCAUGGUAGUGGCUAAUUAAUGAUUGCAAUCAACUUUGCAAAAAGCAAUCUUUGACCGAUAUCUGUGAACCAACAUUUAGUAAAGUUCACAAAGAAAGUGCUACAAAAAUAUUGACUUGCAGUUGUAAGAAACUGAGUUCGAGAGUUUAUAGAAACCUUAACCCAAUGUUUUAUUUGCUGGCUUCAUGGAUACAUGUGCUUAUUUAUGACUCAUGAAGCAUGAAGGUUUAUUUCCAUAUAAACUUCAAUUUUGUAUUGAGUUGAUUUUUGUUUUUAAAAAAGAUCAGACACUGCUUCUGAUUGAAAAAAUCAAGUGACCAUUGUCCAUUCACAAAUAAUGAUAUCAACUGAACAGAAUAAAGCUAUCAUCUUUACAUUUUUACCACAAAAAAAAAAGAAUAAUGCUAGCACAAAAUUGGAAAACUUACCGGCGGUAACGGUGAAUGCGAAUUGCAACAAUAGAAAAAAAAAAACAUCAGUAGUGGAAAAAGGAAGACUCUAUUAGAAUACUAGGGGGGUCCGCGCUUCGCGUGAAAUAUUAUUUUAUUAUGGUUAAAUAAGAUGUUUUUGGAUGAUGUAAUUAUGUGUUCAGUAUUUAUUUAUGAAGAGUAUUAUUAAAUAUUUUAUUGUGUUAUGUAGUAUUAGGGUAUAGGUUAAUAUAUUAUGUAUUCGUCUUUUCAAUAAUGUGUUGUUGUCUGUAUAUUAGUAUUUGUUAGUGGUGAAUUGACCUUCUAAUGUAAAGCAUAUUGAAUUUCAAUAACUUUGAAUUUAAGCAAUUGUUGAUUCUAAUAUUAACGGUUUCAGCGUCAAAAUUGUAUUUCAUAUUUUCACAUUGUUGAACAUUAUUCUUUUUUUAACAACAUUAAACAUUAUUCUUUUAAGAUGUUUUUUUUGUCUCCGCAUAUUUUGACUUGAGCUGACACCAUCUAUGUAUUUUAUUUACAUUUCUGGUAUGUGGUGUUUCUUACCAUCACCGGAAAAAGUUCACCUUUGUUUCUCUUAUUUUUCCUCUUCUUCUUCUCUUGUGAGAUUAUCUGAUAUUUGUUGUAGAUCAGGUUUACGAGUUCCAAGUUGUGCGGUUGUUUCUCAUGAUGUUGUACACUGUUCUAGUUAAUAUUUUUCCUCUUCUUCCUUAGAUUUGGCUAAUGUUAGGAACUACAUCUCCUUGGGUUGGGUCAGAGUUUAGUUGUCUUCCUCGUAGUUGGCUUGCCGUUGAUAGUCUCUGCUAGUCUUGGUUUUCAAGAUUUGGUUUUUGGUGAUCUGACUUUUUAUGUUCUCUUCAUAGCUCGAGGAUGGCUCCACAGUUUGCUGAUUUUGUGUAGUCUUUUUUUCUUUCUUUGUUCUCUCACUUCGUUGCACUUUUCAUCGCUGGUUGCGUCUCUAGUGGCUCUUCAUUUCAUAUAUAUACCACUCAAGGUUUGGAUAGUGUUUUCCUUCACGUAUGUUUUGUGGGCUUGGAAGAUUAUUUCUUGUCUCAAACUUGAGCUCUGAUUUCUCUGUGGUUGGCUUUCAUUCUCCCUCCCUUAUGUUGCUUUUCUUCUUCUCUUGCUUCCUUUGGUAUAAGUUUGUAGAGUUAGUCUCUUGGUGCUUUGGUCUCUUCUAUUCAGAGCUUUUUGGUUCUUCAUUGGUAUGAGGCUCCUUGUAUGUGGUUGUUUUGUCUGUGAGGUGCUUCAUACUUUUUAGCUGGUGGUUGUGCAUUAUGCAUGUGUUUUCCUGCUUUGUGGUGACUUUGGUCUGGUGAUUAUUCUUUCUUUGAUCAUAUUUUGUGUGUUUUGGAUUGGUGUUUGAUCGCGUUCAUUUGUGUUCCAGACUUUUAUUGAGUAAGUGUUACUAUAGUAUUCUAUUUUUUCUUUGUGAUUGUGGAGAUUUAAGUUUAGAUUACGUCUCAUACUCUAGUUUUUUUUAGUUUAGUUAUUUUAUGAUUUUUAAUAGUAAAAUAAAUUAUAAUUUGUAAAUAAAAUAAUAGAAAAUUAAUAAAAUAGUAAAAUUUAUGUUAUUUUUAGUUGUGAAUAAAUAAAAUAUUUAAAAUCUAUUUUUAUUUUUUUAUUUUUUCUUUAUUCAUCUCCAAUGUUAUUGACUAAUAAAAUAUAUUAUAAAACUUCAUAUAAUAAUGGUUAGUGAGAGAAAAAUAAUAGUGCACAAUUAGAAAAUACUAACCAAAUUGCAAUAGUGUAAAAGAAAAAAGACCUAAAAUGUUAAAACAAAAAUACAUGGGAACACAUGUCAUCAAAUAUCGUUUCUAUUUGUCAUAAGAAGAGAAAAAGCUAAUUUUAUAUAUAUAUAGGCUUUUAACUAAAUUAAGUUUAAUUGAAAUUAAACUUAUGACCCAUAUGUGGUCUCUUCUUAUCUACAUCAAUAUUUCUUUGAUUAAAAAGUUAUAAGUCAUGAAAUUGAUCAAAAUGAUUUUUCUUUGGUCAUUGUUUCAGUGUAACAAAUCAGUUUCAUUGUUAUAUUUGUUACUUCAUCUCAACCCAAAUGUUCUUCAGUGAAUAUUAAACUAUUAAUUUUUUACACACACACGAUUUUACCUUUCAUAUUGUUUGAUUUGGUUCGCGUUAAAAAAAAUUGUUUUGUAUGUGAGAAUUUUAUCCUUAAUUGUAUUGAAGCAAACCUUUCUUUAUAGAAUAAGAUGUAUUCAGGUAGGUUUGAUAUAGUGUACAUAGUUUUAGAUGAUGAAAAAAAAAUGAAUCGUUUAAUAUAUCUACUUUUUCAUAUUUAUCCACAUUCACUUUAUACAAAUUUGAAACAUGUGGCUCUGCAGCUCUUACAUACGUGCAGGCAGGCCAUCUUUUGUUAAAGAGGGAUCUCUACGGCUUCAGUGUUGUGCUCAACCAGAUUAUAACCCGACGCCCAAACCAAUGAGAGAAACAAACCUAAGGAUUAAUGGCUCCACCACAAUAACUACGCAUGCAGCUGCAUGAGCAUUAGUUUGGAUAGCUUGCUGAUCUCUUUACGAUACCUACGGCCCAAGAUGUAGGUUGUAGUUCUAUUUUUUGUUUGUGAUUGUGGAGAUUUAAGUUUAGAUUACGUCUCAUACUCUAGUUUUUUUUAGUUUAGUUAUUUUAUGAUUUUUAAUAGUAAAAUAAAUUAUAAUUUGUAAAUAAAAUAAUAGAAAAUUAAUAAAAUAGUAAAAUUUAUGUUAUUUUUAGUUGUGAAUAAAUAAAAUAUUUAAAAUCUAUUUUUAUUUUUUUAUUUUUUCUUUAUUCAUCUCCAAUGUUAUUGACUAAUAAAAUAUAUUAUAAAACUUCAUAUAAUAAUGGUUAGUGAGAGAAAAAUAAUAGUGCACAAUUAGAAAAUACUAACCAAAUUGCAAUAGUGUAAAAGAAAAAAGACCUAAAAUGUUAAAACAAAAAUACAUGGGAACACAUGUCAUCAAAUAUCGUUUCUAUUUGUCAUAAGAAGAGAAAAAGCUAAUUUUAUAUAUAUAUAGGCUUUUAACUAAAUUAAGUUUAAUUGAAAUUAAACUUAUGACCCAUAUGUGGUCUCUUCUUAUCUACAUCAAUAUUUCUUUGAUUAAAAAGUUAUAAGUCAUGAAAUUGAUCAAAAUGAUUUUUCUUUGGUCAUUGUUUCAGUGUAACAAAUCAGUUUCAUUGUUAUAUUUGUUACUUCAUCUCAACCCAAAUGUUCUUCAGUGAAUAUUAAACUAUUAAUUUUUUACACACACACGAUUUUACCUUUCAUAUUGUUUGAUUUGGUUCGCGUUAAAAAAAAUUGUUUUGUAUGUGAGAAUUUUAUCCUUAAUUGUAUUGAAGCAAACCUUUCUUUAUAGAAUAAGAUGUAUUCAGGUAGGUUUGAUAUAGUGUACAUAGUUUUAGAUGAUGAAAAAAAAAUGAAUCGUUUAAUAUAUCUACUUUUUCAUAUUUAUCCACAUUCACUUUAUACAAAUUUGAAACAUGUGGCUCUGCAGCUCUUACAUACGUGCAGGCAGGCCAUCUUUUGUUAAAGAGGGAUCUCUACGGCUUCAGUGUUGUGCUCAACCAGAUUAUAACCCGACGCCCAAACCAAUGAGAGAAACAAACCUAAGGAUUAAUGGCUCCACCACAAUAACUACGCAUGCAGCUGCAUGAGCAUUAGUUUGGAUAGCUUGCUGAUCUCUUUACGAUACCUACGGCCCAAGAUGUAGGUUGUAGUAGAAAACUUGAUGAAGAUUAUCAACGAAUCAGAGAUUGAGAUUGUUAGAUGGCCAUGGGUAAGGAAAGUAGUGAACUAAGUAGCAAGAGUAAGGCCACAUGAGACGUGAGGGGAAGUAGUUAGUGUUGGAAUACAAUUUUUGCGUUUUGAAGAUUUUUUGCAAGUUUCAUACAAUAUAUAAAUCAAUUAAAGGCAAUUUAGUGGUUCAUACGAGUAAUUGGUCUGUCAAAUAUAUCAAUGACACUACUUCAAUAUCAAAUCCCAAAGCUUGGUUUGCUAAAAUUAUAGAAUAAAUGACAAUGGAAAAGCUUCGUAUAAAUUCUAAUACUUGAACAUGUUAUUUUAUGUUAUAUAUAUAUUUAUUUCGCUAUCCAGAAGAAGCACUAACAAAUGUACUCAUGUAUGCCAUGAACUUUAUAAUUCAUACAUGCAUUAUAUUUUAUCAACUCUCACACUUUCAAAAUUUUAAAGUCUAUAAAAACGAGAAAAAUAAAUAUGGAGUUGAUGAAUUUUUAAAACAUACUUUGGACGACGUGGAACAAAAAAUUGAAAAGGCAAAAAAAAUUUCAAACACUUAUAAAAGUAAGAUAAAUAAUAUUUAGAUAAUGAGACAUGUUUACAAUUCAACCAGUUAAAUACCAUAAUUGAAAUUUAAUUAAUUUUUUCUUAUUCAGCUAUUCACCUUAUAUAUAAUUUCCAAUAACAAAAAAAAUUGAAUACUUAAAUUUUUGAAUUGCAUAAGACAAAAACAAUGAAUCAUUUAAAAUUAUUUUAUACUAGGGGUUGUCCCGUCCUACGGGCGGGUGAUUUUAAACUAAAAUAAUUUUAUAUUAAAAUAUUUUAAUUUAAAUUUACUUUGUUACUAAACUAUAAAUGUAAUCUAUUUUUAUUCUAAAAGUAUACUGUAAAUUUUAUUAAAUUUUGUUGGUUUGAGUUGAAAAGACCACUAACAUUUUUUUGUUAGAGAACACAAAAUUAUUAAAUUUAGAAAUUAAGAAAAAAGUAAAUAUUUAUAUUUUUCUAUUUGAUUUAUAUUUCAGUUUUUAUAGUUGAAGAAAAUCUAAGGUAAAAAUAACUAAUAUUUUAUUUCUAAGAUUAUCAGAUUUUAAUAUUAUUACAAUAACUAAUUUUCACGAGAAUAAAUUAAUACACCCAUCUCCAAACUAAAUCAAUUGCAAAUCAAAUGUAAUGUGAUAAAAUUAUUAAAAGUUAUAUUUUAAAUCAAUAUAUAAAUAGUUUCAAUAAUGCCUUAAAUAAUAAUAUAUAGUAUAUAUUAUGUAACAACAAAUGAUGUUUUAUUUUGCGCGGAGUUUUAUAUCUUUGGUUACAUCUAGUUCCUAAAUAUGUUUAUAUAUUGAUUUGCUUAUUUUUUUAGUUUCUCAAUCUUCUCAACACCCCCAUAUUUUAUAGGGCUGGAGGUCGAGCCUUUUCCAAUGCCACAUGUCCUAAAUAAGAACCGCUUUCAGUCAGUGGGUUUGGACUAUUAAGGUUUUCUCCUUAUGUAGAAAAUAGUGGUGAAAGUCAUUACCUCUCAAGAUAACUUUUACCUGCACCACUGUCAUUAUUAAAAUAGAAAUGGAUUGGAGAGGUUGCAUUCAGGAAGAGCCGACCUGAAAAAAACUUGAGUCAAUUAACAUUUUAAGACCAGCUAUAUCAUGCUUAAGAAAUGGUGGUUAAUUGCUUACUCUCAAUUUAGGGUUGAAGUUUGUGGCAACCACCACCUUCGGUUCAAUAGAAAUUCUCAUUUCAUCAAGAGCUUUCGCCAAUCCUUCAAACACACUUAGGCAUACAUUUGAGUUCCUGGAACGACAGUUGCGAAAUUUUUUAUGCAUGUCGACACAUAGACCUAGUUGCUUUCUAUAUUUGCUCGAAGCAUUAGAGAAGAUAAGAUCAAAUUAUAAUUUAGGAUGACAGCUCAAAUUAUUUAAUUAAGAAAGGAACGUAUAAUCUAUACAAAUGUAUGGGUUCUACAGAGAUAAUGCUCAUUAAUUAUUUGGAACCUGCAUUCGUACGACGACGUGUUCGGUUUCUUGUACCAUAACAGUUUUUAUUUAGAGAUGGUUUCACGUUUAUCCAUAAAACAUACAUAUGAUAGUACAUAUGAUAUGAUGUUGACUUUCUUUGGGCCAAAAGCAGUUUGUAUAUAGUAAUUACCAAAUCACGAAAUAGUGAAGACAGCUAGAACAUUACUUUUCAGUAUAGAUGGGCAUACUAUAUAUUUAAGAAUUCGAGCUAGUUGCAUGAUAAUAAUAAAGAAAGUUGGCUAAACUUUAAUAGAAAAAAAACUGUAUGUGAGUUUAUACCUUUUGAUGCUUAUGGUAAUCAUCAUGUGUUGUACUCUGAGUCUCCUUCCCUGUAUGUAGUUCUAGUCCUCUUUACUUGGCCAACAAUAUCUAUGGAGGAAAUAUAACCAAAGCUAGUAAGUCUUGUAUCAAAGUAGUAUAUUGAGAAGUAUUAAAAGUGUGAAUUUAAAUCUAACCUGGUAAAUCAGAAUUGGUGUUGGCUCGUACCAUUAGUUGGUCAUAAUUCAGAAAUCUGAAGUGCUCCACUGGGAUUGGUUUGAACCGUUUCGGAUAUCUCCAUAAAGACGUUUCGGUUGCUUCUUGUCACUCAAUAACUGUUAGAAGAUGUUCAGCCGGUGUACAUUUCUUGAUGCCUGAAGCCCUGAACCAUCGUCACCUGAGAAGAAGGUAGGUUACUCAGACAACAUCUUGAACACAACUUCGAUAAUAACAUAGUUAAUCAAAAAAGAUCUCAGUUACAAAAAUACCUUGGCAUCAAGCAGUAGCAUAUCCAUGCUCAUCAAUUGACCUCCUUUCUUCACAUUCUGAGACGCCCAAAAACGGAGAAGUCUCGUCUGAACAAUAUCAUUUCACCGGCCUGUCUUCAACUCGAAAAAGUGUAGCUGGAAGUUGCCAUUUUUGAAGAUCUUGUUUGAGAGUUUCAGUCCAGAAGUAAUAGGCGGAGACUAUGGGAAACGGGGAAGCCACAUCGAAAAUAUAUAUAGAUGCUGAAGAUAGCUACUGAACAACAAAUAAAGGCAGCAAUAAAGAAGAGUUCAUGGGAUUUUUGGGUUUUCUCAUUGAAUGACAUAACUCCCGAGAGUUACUUGGCCGAGGAAGUGGAAGAGAGAUGGUAAGCUCUUCGAUUACAGAAACCCUAAUCUUGGAUUACAGGAAGCAGAAGAGGGAUCGUAAGCUCACACACAAAACCAUUGGGCCUGAGAAAACAACAUGAUAUAAGCCCAAACAGAAGUCUUGCUGUCGUAGAGCCCAUAAUGGGUUUCGGUAUUCAGAACGAAAAAAUCGAUUUCAUUUAAAAUUUAAUGAAGUGACACGUGGCGAAAAAUGCCCUAUGCAUACUGAUGAUGUGGCAGCAUAAAGAGGGACUCAAGCCAACUUUAUUAUAUAAGACUAGGGAUUAACCCGGGCUACGCCCGGGAUUUUUAUUAUUUUUAUAAUUUAAAUUGUUAAAUUAUUUAUAUUUAAGGUAUGAUAUAUAUAUUUAUAUAAAUGUUAAGAUGCAUGUCAUAAUUAAAAUUUAUUUUUAAAUUUUAACACGUUAAAUUAACAUAUUUUUUACUAUUUAAAUAUCUUUUUUGUAAUUUUGUUGGCUAUCUAGUUAUCAUAUUUAGCAAAACUAUCCGUUGAGUGUUGAAAUAAAUGUUUUAGAUAUUUAAUUAAACUGUAGAGUAUUUUCGGAUCGACCACAUGCUCAACAAUCGAUCCAUCCGUAAAAAGAUGGUCGAUCUCCUUGGCCAGGUAAGUACAAUUUUAGCAAAAAUAUCUUUGAUUUUCAAAUAUUAAGUAUAUAACUAUUCUUUUGAAUAUUGUUUUUUUGAAUUGUAUUUUUUGAUUAAAUUAUUGUAUUAUAAUGUUUAUGUAAAUAUUUUUUGAUGUUUGAAUUUGUGUUGUUCGUAUACUUAACCUAGAUGAUAUUGAUGUUUAACAAUUUAUUGUUUUCUGGAUAUAGAAAAUAAUGAUAUAUCAAAACAUAUCUAAUACUUGUUAAAUGAUAGUAUAAUGUAAAUUACAUCCAUUAUUUGAAAAUAACCAUUUGUUGUUUUUNNNNNNNNNNNNNNNNNNNNNNNNNNNNNNNNNNNNNNNNNNNNNNNNNNNNNNNNNNNNNNNNNNNNNNNNNNNNNNNNNNNNNNNNNNNNNNNNNNNNNNNNNNNNNNNNNNNNNNNNNNNNNNNNNNNNNNNNNNNNNNNNNNNNNNNNNNNNNNNNNNNNNNNNNNNNNNNNNNNNNNNNNNNNNNNNNNNNNNNNNNNNNNNNNNNNNNNNNNNNNNNNNNNNNNNNNNNNNNNNNNNNNNNNNNNNNNNNNNNNNNNNNNNNNNNNNNNNNNNNNNNNNNNNNNNNNNNNNNNNNNNNNNNNNNNNNNNNNNNNNNNNNNNNNNNNNNNNNNNNNNNNNNNNNNNNNNNNNNNNNNNNNNNNNNNNNNNNNNNNNNNNNNNNNNNNNNNNNNNNNNNNNNNNNNNNNNNNNNNNNNNNNNNNNNNNNNNNNNNNNNNNNNNNNNNNNNNNNNNNNNNNNNNNNNNNNNNNNNNNNNNNNNNNNNNNNNNNNNNNNNNNNNNNNNNNNNNNNNNNNNNNNNNNNNNNNNNNNNNNNNNNNNNNNNNNNNNNNNNNNNNNNNNNNNNNNNNNNNNNNNNNNNNNNNNNNNNNNNNNNNNNNNNNNNNNNNNNNNNNNNNNNNNNNNNNNNNNNNNNNNNNNNNNNNNNNNNNNNNNNNNNNNNNNNNNNNNNNNNNNNNNNNNNNNNNNNNNNNNNNNNNNNNNNNNNNNNNNNNNNNNNNNNNNNNNNNNNNNNNNNNNNNNNNNNNNNNNNNNNNNNNNNNNNNNNNNNNNNNNNNNNNNNNNNNNNNNNNNNNNNNNNNNNNNNNNNNNNNNNNNNNNNNNNNNNNNNNNNNNNNNNNNNNNNNNNNNNNNNNNNNNNNNNNNNNNNNNNNNNNNNNNNNNNNNNNNNNNNNNNNNNNNNNNNNNNNNNNNNNNNNNNNNNNNNNNNNNNNNNNNNNNNNNNNNNNNNNUUUUUAUGCUGUAUGUUUACAUAUUAUUUAUAAUUUUCGAAAAUUAGUAAUAUUAAAAUGUAAAACUAUAUUUUAUGCCACGUGUCAUCUUUCGGAAGAAGUUUUUUUUGCUUAUGUGGACGCUCUAUGGAGCCUCAAGGUUAUAUAGCAAAUUACAUGAGUUUAUGAGUGUAUCUACGCCAAUUACUCUAUAUUUAAUGUAGUAUUUCUAUUUUUUUAUGUUGUAUGUUUACAUAUAUUUAUUAUUUUCGAAAUUAUAUAUAAUGUUUUUUGUUUUUUUAUAAAACGGUAGUAUUACAUUAUGGAAUUAAGGCGUCUUUUUUUUUAAAGUGAAAAAUGGUAACUUUACAUAUGUUCAAUGUAGUUUUUCUAUUUUUUAUGUUGUAUGUUUCAUAUUAUUUAUAAUUUUUGAAAAUUAGUAAUAUUAAAAUGUAAAACUAUAUUUUAUGCCACGUGUCAUCUUUCGGGAGAAUUUUUUUUGCUGAUGUGGACGCUCUAUGGAGCCUCAAAAGGUCCCUUUUAUUAGUAAGGAUUUUUCUAUAGCUACUUAUAUUUUUAUAAUAGAUUCUAAAAUUUAUAUAUUAAAAUAAACAUACUUAUAUUGAAUCAAAACUAAAAUUUAAACAAAAACCGGGUAGUAGUUUGGACUGGCCCUAGUAUAAUAUAAAAACUAGUACUUAUUAGCAAAUUGAGCAAACCCAAUUUGUUAAUGAUUAUUUGGAUUUGAGUUUGGAAAUGUUUAAAGACUGGGGUAUUUAUAAAGAAAACGAUUAAAAACAUAGUGUUUAUUACAAAGCAUUAUUAGCCACAAGGAGUCCAAGUAUACAAACAAAGUAUAAAUGGUCUGGAUUCACGUUUUAUUCAACAACUAAUAAAACUUUAUUUAAACGAAACACAAGAACCUCAGUCUUUAAACAUUUGCAAACUCAAAUCCAAAUAUCGGAAGUGCAGUCUCCACCUGGAUACCUCAUCUCAUGUGCUAGUGCAGGACCAUCAGGUUCAUCACCAAAGUCCACAAAGAGAUCAGGGUUUAUGGAGAGACCACCUUUCUCUGUAUCAACAUCAAGCUGAAUUAUGUGUGACCCUUUAUCCAUGAGUUCCGGGUAAAACUGACGAUCCCAUGCGCUAAAGAGCGAGUUUGUUGCAUACAACCGUUUCCCAUCGAGGCUAAGCUGGAUCAUUUGAGGUCCUCCUCUCAGAGAUUUCCCCUGCAAUUACCAGAGAAGAAGCAGUUUCAAGACAAUGCAAAAUGUUAAAAACCUCAAAAAGAUUUCAUAUUUUGGGUACAAACAAACCUUGAUCUGAGGAACAUCGUAUUGGAAAGUGUUACCAUCUUCUCCAACCGCCUUAACAGGACUGCCCUUUUGUAGUAACCCUCCCACCCAUAUUUGACCGGUUAAGACAGGGUUUUUAGGGUCUUCAAUGUUGUACUGACGAAUGUCUCCAUGAAGCCAGUUCACAAAGUAGAGGAACCGGUCAUCGAGGGAGAUCAAGAAGUCGGUGAUAAGCCCCGGCAUUUCUGGAAGAAUCCAGUUCUCUACUUUCAGUGGUUUAACUUGGAUAACCACCUGAAAAUCAAUUUGUACUAGGUGUUAAUCAUACAUUUGAAAUAAAACAAGAAAAGAAAGAUAAAAAAGAAAGAAGACUUGCCUCAUGGCCCCAUGUUUCAUCACUGUUCUUGAAAAAUCGUAUCAUAUUACUCGACAAAGCACCCCCAACAUACCCUGUAUCCUUAGAUGGAUCAUGCAAGAAUCUAAUCUGCAACCACAACAGGGAAAGAUUAUUAAUGUUAGUCUGAAGAAAGAAAACAUAUAAAUGAGACGUUUGAUUAAUUAUGUAUACCUCUAAAGGUAACAUGCCAGUCUCUCCAAGGUCAAUUAAUUGUUUCAUUUCACCUCCUGGCCAACUGUAAACAUGGAGAUGGCUUCCGUACAAGCCAUCAGCAACGUGUUGGAGAUCGAAACCUUUGGUGAAGGCUUUAGGUGCUCCCCAAGAAGUGCUUAUCAUUGUCUUGUGCCGCGGUUGAUACCAGAAGUCAUAACCAAACAAGGGACUAUGUCCUUCUUUCUCCCACCUGACAUAAUCCCCCAAUAACCAUAAUGAUUUAGAGUAACUAUUAUUAUCAACAAUGACAAGAAAGAAAGUAAAACAUAAUGAGUUAGUUUUGUAAUAAGCGACCUGUUCUUGAUGUUGAAAUCAGAGUCAAGAAGAAGAAACCCGUUCCCCUUGGCGUUUCCCUCUUCGUCUCCAAGACAGGACACCAAGAUCUCACCAGAGGCAAGGCAAUGAGCCGUGUGUGGAUAAGCCAAUCCAGUCUUUUCAGCAAUCUCCUUAGGAUCCACAUACUUGUACAAAGACGGUGCCCUCGGGUCUGCCUUUGUGUCAAUCGCAUAGAUGCGACCAGAUCUUUAAUUCAAACAAGGAGAAAGAUCAAGAUAGUGAACUUAAACAUCACUAAAUGAAUUCAGGCUGAAGGAAAUUUACAUAAGGGAUGGUAAGACGAGGUAACGUCGAUCAGCGGAAGCAUCACCAUGGCAAGAGCUGCAAGAGUUCCAACCAGAGUGAUGAAGCUCAUCACCCACAAAAGGCAUUGGCAAUCUGUGAAUGACGGUUGAAUAGGUUGGUGAGUUUGGAUCAACAUCCACCGUUGCCAAGUAAUCAGGCUUCUCUCGUCCCGUUCCUUCAAAACCAAAAAAAAAAAAAAAAAAUAUAUAUAUAUAUAUAUUAAAAAGAAGAAUCCACAACCAAAGUACAGUAGGAUCAAAAGAGAACUUAAAAGUAAGAUUCAACCAGACAAUAGAAAAGAACAAAGAUUCUUAGUCAUAAAUUUAUCCUUAAAACAGAGAGAUCUAAUCAGGAAACUGAAAACAGAGAGAGAUCACAAGGGGUGAUUUCGAUCUAGAAUCUUUGAGAUUCCGUAGGACCUACUAAAAAGAUUUUUUCACAUCAUCAUUCAUCAACCAACGUUAAAAGUACAGAUUCUGUCUGAAAAUACUUUUGAAAACGUUCGAUCUCUAACAGGUUAAAAGAAAAUAUAAAACAAAAGUGUACCAGAGUAGACGGCGGUGACGUAGAUGAGCUUUUCCGAUGGACCAGACAUGGCGGCGAGUGGCGUCGCGUAACCAGGACCUGAUUUGCAACAUCCUCCGUCAACGCCGUUGCUCGCGGGAGCUACCACUUCAGUAUUAGUCACCAUUUUCGAUCUCUGCCUUUCUUGAGUCCUGUGUCUCUGAAAUCAAGAUAUAUCUAUUAAAUAUAUAAUUUAAUAUUAUAAGGUAGUGGUUAAGCUUCACGUCUCCUUUGAGUUUAUCGCAAACACACACCCACGUGAUUUUGAUUUGUCAGUGCAAAUAUUUUAGCUGUGACUUUUCGUUGUUAUCUUUUUACUUACAAAAAGUAUGUGUAAGGUAAGAUAUGUGACGGAAAACAAUAUCUUCCGCGUCACUAUAGAUGUAAAUCUUCUAGGAAAACACUGGAUUUGUAGUAUUUUAAUACAUAACUACUGCCAAAUUUGUAGGUUGUGUUGACCAGACCGCAGGAUGUAUCUGAAUUAAAAAUACGUCUCCAUGCAAAAAGCUGAUAAAACAAUAAUGCAAUUCGUCCAUUGACAAAAUAAGAAGAUAAAAAUGAAUCUGUGAAGUGCAACUGUCUAAUUACGGUGUAUUAUUUUUUACGGCAAACUUAAAAUUGUAUUAACUUUUAAACCGAACCAGCUAGCGAACAGAAAAUGUUUUGGGUCAUGGUCAUUGUAGUUCGAUCGGGUUUAAUUGGACUAAACUAAAUUUAAUGAUAUUUUGUAAAUAAUAAGCAUAUAUUUACAAAAUAGAUCAUAUCAAAUAAAAUAUUUAAAUAGCCAUUAUAUAUAACAAAAUAUAACAAAAAUAAAAAGAAAUUAAUAGCUCAAAUCUAAAAUCAAUAUGAAAAUCACAUUUAAAAUUUAUUCUCAGAUCUUAUCACUCUAAAUCCUUAUCACCUGUAAAAAAUUAUAUACACAUUAGGUAAAAAAUAUAUUUUGAAAUACAAAUUUCACAAACGUAAAUGUUUCAAUUAUUAAAGUCUUCAAAACAAAUAAUCAUGAAAUAAAAUUUAAACAAAAUGAAAAGUAAACAAAAACAAUAUCUUAACGUGAAUAUUAAACUUGUAUCUUGUAACUUAUGAGUUGUAGAGAAGUAAAAAAAAAAUGAGAGGCAAUACUUUAUUAAACUUUAAUAAAUCAUAUUUUUGCUUUAAGAAGAAGCUGAACUUUUUGUUUCAAAAUAUAUUUUUUAAAAUUUUGGUUUAUAUACUAACUGAGGUUUAUAUACUAACCGGGGUUUGGUCGGUUCAUUGGAUCGCCGGUUCCCGGGUUUCUGACCGUUUAAUAUGUGUUUUUAACCGGUUCAACUUUAAUUGGGCUUUGGCAUUAACCCAACCCGAAUUAUUGUCGGCUCAUGAUUCAACCCGGUCCGGGUUUAAAAAUACUGCUCGAAACAUAGCAAGCAUACAAAAUUGGAUUUAACUAAGAGGGAGUAUAAGAACAACAAUUGUUAAGAAAGACCACUAAAAGGACCUUUCCUAGCUAACACAUGCGUUUGCUUGGUUACCCAAUCUUUUCUUCAUUCAUUUCACAUAUAAAUCUUUUACCAUGGCCCAUGGGUAAUGCUAAAAAAACCUCAAAAGAAAGGGGCACAAUGUAAAUAGAAAGUUUUAUUAUCUCGGAUUAAGAACAACGAUAUAGCAGAAACAACUUUUCAUUUUGAUUCAAAACACAUGAAUCUAGCGUCAUCAUCAUAUUUAUUACACUCUAGAAAACACAAAAAUGAGUCAAACCCAAUUUUACCCUUUUAAGGGGGCCAAUUCAAAUCCAGAUAUCAGAGGUGCAGUCUCCUCCGGGAUACAUCAUCUCAUGGGCAAGCGCAGGACCAUCAGGUUCAUCACUGAAGUCUACAAAGAAAUCAGGGUUUAUUGAGAGACCACCUUUCUCAGUAUCAACAUCAAUCUGAAUUAUGUGUGAUCCUUUAUCCAUGAGUUCUGGGUAAAACUGACGGUCCCACGCGCUAAAUAGUGAGUUUGUUGCAUACAAUCAUUUACCAUCAAGGCUCAGCUGGAUCAUCUGAGGUCCUGCUCGUAGAGAUUUCCCCUACAAAUACUUCAAUAUUAAAAAAACAACUUGUAUAGAAAAAAAAUGCUAAAAUUCUCCCAAAUGAAUGCUUUUGUUUUGUGGGUAAAAAAACAAACCUUGAUCUGAGGAACAUCAAACUGGUAAGUGGUACCAUCUUCUCUAACAGCCUUAACAGGGCUGCCUUUUUGUAGUAAUCCCCCCCACCCAAAUUUGAGCGGUUAAGACAGGAUUUUUAGGGUCUUCAAUGUUGUACUGACGAAUGUCUCCAUGAAGCCAGUUCACAAAGUAGAAAAACCGAUCAUCGAGGGAGAUCAAGAAGUCGGUGAUAAGCCCCGGCAUUUCUGGAAGAAUCCAGUUCUCUACUUUCAGUGGUUCAACUGAUAUAACCACCUACCAAAAAGAAUCAAACUAAUGGUUAAUCAUAGCUUUCAAGAACCAAAGAAAAAAAGAGGUUAUGAAGAUAAUUCCGAAACUCUACUUGCCUCAUGGCUCCAUGUGUCAUCACUGUUCCUGAAAAAUCUUAUCAUAUUACUCGACAAUGCACUCCCAACAUACCCUGUACCUUUAGACGGAUCAUGCAAGAAUCUUAUCUGCAACAACCACAUAAAACAUUACAUUAUAUUCCUCGGUAACACAGAUCCUCACAUUUUAUAUAACAUGUUGAAGUAAUGUUACUACCUCGAGAGGUAAGAGACCAGUAUUACCAAGGUCAAUAAUCUGUUUCAUUUCACCUUCUGGCCAUUUAUAAAUAUGUAAAUGACUUCCGUACAAGCCAUCAGCAACGUGCUGGAGAUUGAAACCUUUGGAGAAAGCUUUAGGUGCUCCCCAAGAAGUGCUGAUCAUCGUCUUGAACCGAGGCUGGUACCAGAAAUCAUACCCAAACUUUGGGGCAUGCCCUGGUUUGUCCCACCUGCUUUUGACGUUGAAAUCAGAGUCAAGAAGGAGAAACCCGUUCCCUUUGGCGUUUCCUUCUUUGUCACCAAGGCAAGAGACCAACAUGUCGCCAGAGGCGAGGCAGUGAGACGUGUGCGGAAAUGCUAAUCCUGUCUUCUCAGAAAUCUCUUUAGGUUCUACAACCUUGUACAAGGACGGAGCCUUUGGGUCAGUCAUUGUGUCGAUUGCGUAGAUGCGACCAGAUCUUCAUCAAGACAAGAAAGAAAACGUUAGAUCAUAAUGAUCUACUGUAGAUAUGAAGCGUCAUUAAUAAAUAUGCAUAUUAUAUGUAUAUAUAUAUAUUAAUAUCAUAUAAAUUUAAUUAUAUACUAUAUAAAAAUAUAUAAAAAUGUUAAUUUCAAAAUUUUCAUUGAAAAAUUAUUGGGAUUUUAAUAUUAAAUGAUAACUUACAGAGAGUCAAUAGUAAAAAAAUCGAGAGUAGAAAACCUAAUCUCCUUUUGUCAUGUUGCGUAUCUGGUUUUAAUGAUUUGUGUCAGCCCCAAAAGUUAAUUUUCUUUUAUGCACAUGAAGUCAUAAGAAUAAUUAAAAUGAACUAUAAUACGUUAGUUAACUCUUCAACAAUGAUGGUAUAUUUAAAAGACCAAUAUUUGUAUCGUCAUUUUACAAUCGAUAAAGAUUGUAGUAUUGCAAAAUGAUAAACCAUUUAAUGAACAAACAUAAACAUUAGUAUAAAAACUCACGCCGUGCACGGAUUAUCAUCUAAUCCCUACUUAUUCAUAAAACAUGCACCACUGGAAAUGCUCAAAACUCAAAAGAUAUGGACGUAAUAUAAACUGAAAGUUUUGAUUAAGUAACAAAAGAAAAGAACAAGCUUUAUGUCUGGAUGAAAACAGUUAUUUAUUACACUACAAAAGACAACAACUGACUCAAAUCUUUUCUUAUGGAUCAUAUUCAAAUCCAGAUAUCAGAUGUGCAGUCUCCGCCGGGAUAUCUCAUCUCGUGGGCAAGCGCAGGACCAUCGGGUUCUUCACCAAAGUCCACAAAGAAAUCAGGGUUUAUUGAGAGACCACCUUUCUCUGUAUCAACAUCAAUUUGAAUUAUGUGUGAUCCUUUAUCCAUAAGUUCAGGGUAAAACUGACGGUCCCACACGCUGUAUAACGAGUUUGUUGCAUACAGUCGUUUACCAUCAAGGCUAAGCUGAAUCAUUUGAGGUCCUCCUCUCAGAGAUUUCCCCUGAAAACACCGAGAUAUAAUAUAACAGCUUAUAGCAAAGAAACAAUAGAAGCUAAGAUGCUCCAAAAGAUUAAAUUUUGUUUGGUACAAACCUUGAUUUGAGGAACAUCAAACUGGUAAGUACCGCCGUCUUCUCUAACAGCCUUAACAGGACCACCCUUUUGUAGUAAACCACCCACCCAAAUUUGUCCCGUUAAGACAGGGUUUUUAGGGUCUUCGAUGUUAUACUGGCGAAUGUCUCCAUGAAGCCAGUUCACAAAGUAGAAAAAUCGAUCAUCCAGAGAGAUCAAGAAGUCGGUGAUAAGCCCUGGCAUUUCUGGAAGAACCCAGUUUUCUACUUUUAUGGGUUUAACUGAUAUAACGACCUAAAAUCCAGUUCAAUAUUUAUGGGUUAUCAUAUGUUUAAGGUAAAGAAGAAGAUAAAGAAAGUAGACUUGCCUCAUGGCUCCAUGUUUCAUCACUAUUCUUGAAAAAUCUUAUCAUAUUACUCGACAGUGCACUCCCAACAUAUCCUAUAUCUUUAGAUGGAUCAUGCAAGAAUCUGAUCUGCAACCACAUAUAAAUUAUAAGUUAAAAAGAUUAAAAAAACUGAUAACAAUUAUUUCCUUUUAUUUAUGUUUUCUGACGAGAAGAAGAAGCAAAUGACGAUUGUGUGAGAUAUUUGACUACAGGUUACCUCCAAAGGUAUGAGACCAGUAUCUCCAAGGUCAAUUAACUGUUUCAUUUCACCUCCUGGCCAACUGUAAACAUGAAGAUGACUUCCGUAGAAGCCAUCAGCAACGUCCUGGAGAUCAAAACCUUUGGAGAAGGCCUUAGGUGCUCCCAAAGAGGUGCUGAUCAUUGUCUUGUGCCGAGGUUGGUACCAGAAAUCAUAACCGAACAAGGGACUAUGUCCUGGUUUCUCCCACCUGAGAAAUCCCCUCAAAAAAUAUACAUAUCAAGUCCAUUUUAAUGCUUAAAACUUUGCCUUUUGUCUACCCAAGAACACUAUGUUACAUCACAAGUCAUGGCAUUGAUAUGCAAUUUCACUGGCCAUCCCUUCAUGAUAUAUACACUUUUUUACUUGUGAUAUGUUCUUUUUUGUGGCUGCAUACUAUAUUAGGAUGCGAAUGCUCAAAUGUUUUUUAGGCAAAUACUCAAAUGUUGUUUGUUUGUUUUAAAAUCAAUAUCUUGAUGAUGAGUUUGGAUGUAUAAUCAAUUGUAUCUCAAAAAACUUAAAUUUUAGAUGCUAGAAAAAAAAGUCAAAUUUUUGACACAAUCCGGUCAAUUGCAAAACUAAUAUAUUUAUCCUAGAGGACUUACCGGGAAGUCUUCUCUAGUAUUUUUGAGAUUUUUUUGUUAACACGUAAAAGUUGGAAGACUUACAGAGAAGUCGUCUCUAAAAAACUCACAGAAACUCAAUUGGAAAACUAACAUAUGCAUUGACCAGAAGACUUUCGUAUAAGUAUUCCCGUCAGAGAAAAAAAUGAUUUCAUAGCUUCAACCAGUGAGAUAACUUGCUUAACUUCUCUAACCACACAAAAUUUCACCACCAAAGCAACUUACUUGUUAAUGAUCCAGAAUCAUGAGCUUAAAUGGCUCUAUGAACCUUAAAAAAGUUUAGAAUCAAAAUCUUGGAGUUUUUUAUGGAUAUAGAGAGAAAGUGAAAGUGAUGUUUUAGUGCAUAAGAAAUGAGAUAGGAGUGAAAAUUGAUUGGUUGUUCAUGUUUAAGUGCAUUAAGAACUUCAAAUUAGUUAUUUACGGUGGUUGUGUAAUUAUGGCAGUGAUAAUAUUGUAAAUAUUGAUGAAGAUGAGAAUGAUAGAGUAAAACACUCAUUUUCGAAGAAAAAAAUAAUGGCAUUUUUGUGAAUAAUCCAAAGUUUUGAGGUAAAAAAGGCAAAUGAAAGUUUCAAAAAAUCAUGGAUUAGUUUUGUGUUUGACUUUUUGUUUUGAGUCAUAUUUAAAAAAAAAAUCAUAUCUUCUUUCUCCAACUCCCAUACCCUCAUUUCAGCAUCAUGUUAUCAAAAAAAAUAUACUUAUUAGUAUAGAAUAAGUGAUUAGACAUACAAUUUGACCAAUUAUUUUUCAUCCCAGUACUCAAAAAAUAUUUGAUCAUAUACGUCUUAACUUUCGUUAGGUAAUUUUGAACAAAUAAUUAAACUAUACAAUAAAAUACUAAGUGAAAGAAAUUAAAAAUAAAAUUCUAAAUUAUUCAGAAUCACAAAUGGUGGAUGAUUAUAUUCAUGUUGUUUUGAGUUCCACAACAGCAAUAUUUUAAAAACAAUUAAGUUAUUUGAGUUAUUUUAGCUAAAUUAAUUUUAUAAUUAUUUAAUUUAUAUUUCAGACUUUAAUAUUUUAAAAAUUUAUUAAAUUUGUUAGUUAUAACGAUUACACAUUACUAAAUUGUCGUUUAUUUUUUAUUUAAAAUAAAUCUAUUACAUUAUAUCUUAAAAUAUUUGAAUUACAUAAUAUUAUUUAUACGUACCAUCUUUAAAAUAUUUUUAUAAAACAUGAUUAUUAAUUUUACUGAAUUAUAUGUACUUUAAAAGUUGAAUUUCAUAAAUUUUAUUGAGUUUACUAUAUUUUUGAAAUAUAGCUAAAUUUUAUUUAGUUUUAAAAAUAUAUAUAUUAACUAUUACUUGUGUAUUUUUCUGGAGUUUUAAAAUUAAUUAUUUAAAAAUAUAGCUAUUAGUUUUUAUUUUAAAAUAUAUUUUGGAAAAAAUUUAAAUAAAUUUCUUUAUUUUAAUUAUAAUAAUAACAUUUUUAAUGGUUUCCAUUAUAUAUAACUUUUUUAGUUUGAAAAUCAAAAACCAAAAUCUGGUGUCACCAUUCAAGAUUUUGGAAAACUAAAAUCUACUUCAAAAUCAAGAACCAAAAACUAAAAAUCCCAAAACUAAAAACUAAAAACCAAAAACUAAAAUCUAAAAACAAUGCAAAAAUCAUCACCUUAAUAUUUUUAUUUUUAAUGAAAACGGUUUUGUGUUUUCCACUUUAUGCAUUACUUUUGAAAAAAGAAUUGGGUUUGGAAUAUUGAGUUGUGCUAAGAUAGCAUUUUCUGCCCGAGACUGUUUAUUUCACCAAAAUUUCAGAAUUAAAAACAAAAACAAAUAAGCAAACAGUGGUAUAUUAAUAGAGAAAUUACUUGAAAUAUACUAAGUUGUAUACUAUUUUUUCAAAAAUACAUUCAAUCAAAAUACUAUAACACUUGGAUUUAUAGUUUAGUGAUUAUUUUUCAGGGUUUAAUAUCUAGUGGAUGGGUUGGGUUUAUAAGCUCCUAUAAAUCAUUUUUAAAUAUUUAUAAAUAAUUUAGGAAGGUUAAUUUUAUUUUUCUCAUAUAAAUUUAAGUUAUUUGUAAAAUUAAUUAUCAUUUAAAAGUAAAUUUGAAAAUAGUAUUAAAUUUGAGUUAAAGUUAGAAUUUCCCUUUAAUAGUGAUUAUAAAAAAAUUAAGAAAAAAAUUGGGUUUGGAAUAUUGAGUUGUGCUAAGAUAUUAAUAGAGAAAUUACUUGAAAUAUACUAAGUUGUAUACUAUUUUUCAAAAAUACAUUCAAUCAAAAUACUAUAACACUUGGAUUUAUAGUUUAGUGUUUCUGAAAAGAAAGUGAUAAGAAAUUAAAAUAGAGUGAUUUUCUUAAUAAGCUACCUGUUCUUGAUAUUAAAGUCAGAGUCGAGAAGAAGAAACCCACUCCCCUGGGCAUUUCCAUCUUUGUCCCCAAGACAGGACACCAAGAUUUCACCAGAGGCAAGGCAAUGAGUUGUGUGUGGGAAGGCCAAUCCUGUCUUUUCAGCAAUCUCUUUAGGAUCUACGUACUUAUACAAAGAUGGUGCCCUCGGGUCUGCCUUUGUGUCAAUUGCAUAGAUGCGACCAGAUCUUCAUCAAACAAGAAAAAAAAAACAUUUACUGUGUCAUCCUCAAGAAAGAAACUUAAGGGAAAAAAGGAAAGGCUGAAAGAUCUUACAUAAAGGAUGGUAACACGAGAUAACGUCUAUCAGCAGAAGCAUCACCAUGGCAAGAACUGCAAGAGUUCCAACCAGAAUGAUGAAGCUCAUCACCAAGAAAGGGCAUUGGCAAUCUAUGAAUGACGCUACAAUAUGUUGCUGAGCUUGGAUCCACAUCUACCGUUGCCAAGUAAUCUGGCUUCUCUCGUCCCGUUCCUUAAAAUCCCAUUCAAACCAUUCAAAAAGAAAUUAUACUUGUUUGAUAAACGAUUUUAAUCCUAUGCAGUACUUUCAUACCCGAUCUGGAUCUAUGGUCAAAUCAGUAAAUUCAAUGACCCGUAAAUAAUCCGGUUUGGAUUUAGCAAAAAAAAAACCGUUUAUUAAAUCCGAUAAAACUCAGUAAAAUCCCAAACAUAUGGUAUUAAUCCCUGACCCAACACCAGUUGACCAAAUAAAACUCAAAAUUUUUUAUAACAUUUCUAGAAAAAGUUGAUGAAACCUUUCAUGCACUUUUUAAUAUUACAAAAAUAGAAGAAACUACAAGAUUUAUGAUUCUGUAGACUUUGAUAAAAAAAAUUACUAUGUUAUUUACAGAAAAUGAAGAAAACCAAAAUUUAUUGAUAUGAAACUAUUAUUUUAUUUUUAAUAUUGAAAAAUUAUUAUAAGUUUUUAUAUAAUUAUUUAUUUUAUAUUUAAAAGUUAAUUUCAUAAUAUUUUAUUUAAUUAUUUAUUAUCUUAUUUUUAGCCAAAGUUCUUAUUUGGUAUUUAAAAUUAAUACCAAAAAUUAAAAGUUUUUUUACUGCAGACGAAACGAAAAAUUGAAAUCAUAAGAAAAUUUUAAAUAUUUAACUAUAUCUUACAUAUAAAAUUUGAUAUAAUUUUAAUUUUUUUGCUGCUUAAUAAAGUUAUUUUUGUUUAUAUAUAACUAUAUUACAAUUUAUUAAUCUAUUGAACCACCAUCGACUCAAUGACCCGAUGACUCAGAGAAUAAUCCGUUAAACAUCCAGACCGGAUUUAAAAAUAUUGAUCCUAGGUCAAUCUAAUAUCUGCGUAUUUAUUUAAUGUAUAAAAGCACGUGUAUCAUAUAAACGAAACAAAUACGAUGAAAUGUGUACCAGUGUAGACGGCGAUGACGUAGAUGAGCUUUUCCCGUGGACCAGACAUUGCGGCAAGUGGCGUGGCAUAUCCGGGACCUGACUUGCAGCAUCCUUUUUCUCCGCUUCCAACCGGAGCUAUCACUUUAGUUUCAGUCGCCAUUUCUCUGCCUUUUGAAAUCAGAUCUCGUAGUUAUAUAUUAUGUGGUGGGAUCCCAUUAUGUGGUAGUGGUUUUAAGAAACGUCACAUGAAUUGCAAACCCACGUGCUUUUUAUCAAUUUUCCUAGUUAUUUCGAGAAAUUGUAAAAAAUACCACAUUCAUAAUACUACUUUUUAUGUGUUACAAAAGAAAAUAAUACAAAUUUUCAUGUUUAUAAUCAUUUUUACUCUCACAUUUUAAUAAAAGAUAAAAAUAUAUAUUUAUAUAAUUCUAAAAUUAAUUAAUUUAGACUUAAGGUUUAUACUUAAAGGGUAGGGUAAAAUUUUCAGAAUGUGAAAAUUCAAGAUCUAAUAAAUAUAUUAAUAAAUUUUUAAAAAUAAAAAAAAUAAAAAAAAUAGUUUAAAAAAUAAAUUCGAUUUUUAAGAAUAAAUUUUAAAUAAAAAUUCGAAAAUAGAAAUUCAAAAAAACAUUUUCAUGUUUAAAAAGUAUGAUUCAAAAACAAAAAAAGUUUUUAUUUAUUAAAAAAAUAUUUAUUAUAUAUAUAUAGAAAACAAGGGUAUAAGAAUCAUUUUCACUUAAUGAAGACAAUAUUUUUGAAAAUAUUUCUUUAAUGUUGGUAAACAUGAAUAAUUGUACUAAAAAUUGGCAAAGAUGAAAAUUCUCCAUUAACCUAUCCAUUAUUUAAGAAGUGAUUUUUUUUUUUUUGAAAUUUUCUUAUGUGUCAUUACCAUUUUUAUUUUUAUGAGGAAAAAUGAUAUGGAUUGCUACAAAAUUUGAUAUGACUUGAAAUUAAUUGUAACAAGGACAUUCACAUUUAGUGUUGAUAUAUAUUUUUCCUAAGCUUUUAAAAAUAUGGUAAUAACUCUUUUUGGGGCAACUGUAAAAACUCAUAAACUAUUAAGAGAAAAUAAUAUAAAAUGUAAAUACAAAUAUAAUAAUAUUUUAAAAUUUUCUAAGCGUUUAUUGAAUUCUUCUAAGUAAAUAUACAAUUUUUAAUACUAAUAAUCUUCAAAAUUUUAUGAAAUUUAUGAAAACUUAUGAAUUUCUAAUCCUAAUACCAUUGGUUUCCAUUUAAUAUAAAACAAUUUUAGAAAUACUAUUUAAUAUUAUUUUUUGAUAAUUAUACAAUAUUUAAAUCUAAUAAAAGUUUCUCUUUGUUUUAUACAAUUUGGUCUAAUACACUUUACCCAAAAAUAUAGAUAAAAAAAAUUAUCCAAAAUUAUUAAUUUAAAUAUAUAAAUUUAAAAUAAAAAAGUUGUUAAUUUUAUCUUAUUUUUUGUUCAAUCAAAUUAGUAUUAAAAUUAAAAUGUUUCUAAAAAUAAUAAAAUCUUAAAUAUUAACAAAAUUUUAGUUUUAAAUAUUUUUUAAAUUUAAAAUUUUAAUUUAUGCACAUGAUGCAAAAAAUAACUAAUUUACUAAAAUUGUUUCCGUAAAUAGGGGUGGGCACAUAUCGAAUAUUUGGGUAUAUGAAAGUAUUCGUGUCCAUUCAAUCUUUAGCCACCUAGAUAUUUGGUGACUCGGAUAUCCGAAAUGUUUUAAAAUUUUAAAGAAUAUCUGAUUUGAUCCGUAGAGAAAAUAAAAUUUAAAAUAUAAUUUAAAAUUUUAAUAAUAACGUUUUAUUACAAAAAUAAAACAUUAUUUAACUUUUUAAAUUCUAGUACCUAAUAUAAUAAAUUUAAUUCUUUAAAUUAAUUUAAAACUGAUAUAAAGUAUAAUAUAUAUAAUGUGUAUAUAUAUAAUUCUUUACAUAUAUGUAUAUAUAUGCAUAUAACAGAUCGAAUUAGAUAUAUGUUCCAAAAAAUAUUGGUAUUUGUGAUUUGCUUCUUUUUUGGAUAUUGUAUUUUAGUAUUUGAUUUGUUUUGUAGAGUUAUAGAUAUCCAGAUUUUUUGGUUCAAAUCAAAACGAAUAACGAAUCGAAUCAAAAUUUAUGAUAUUUUGUUCAACUUUAUCCGUAAACAAUAAAAAUAAUAUAUAUAUUGUUCGGCUUUUGAUUCUUUAUCUAUUUUUAUUUGAACCGAAAAAUCCAGCGUUUAAUUGGAACCAUGUAUGUGUGUUUUAUAUUAAAAAAAAUUGCGAAGUACAUAGUGUAAACACAUUUAUGAAUAUAGUGUAAACGCAUUAGCAUACUUAUUAUCAAAUCAUUGUAAGGUUGUCACGUGUCUAUUAUAGUGUGAAUGCAUUCAUUACAAUGCUUCUCUUUUAGUAUAUAAAGGAUGACGAGGCUUUUAAGUUUUUUUCUUUAGACAUUUCAGCAUUUCAGCUUAAUUUUUUUCUUAUCGUUAAGGUUUAAGAUCGUCUUUUGCCAAGACUUUUGUUAUUAUGUAUGAGCGGCACCAUAUGCAGGAGGGCUGGCGUAUUUCAAGGCAAAAAUAGGUGUGAAGUAGAUUCAGCUUAAUAUAUCAGAAUUGGUAAUAGGUGCGAGUAAUUCGGCUUAUCUUGUAUCCACUUGAGUGUUAUUUAGGACGCUUGGUGGUUUGUAUUUCUCAAGUGUUUACCAGGGGGUGGGGGAGCGGGGGCACGGUAAGUGAUCUCAGAAGAUUCUUUUCACGGGCAUGGGUGUCGUUUCACCAAGGAACCUAUGAGAGAAGCCCAAAAGAAAUAGGACUGCCUGGCCAGGGUGCCGAUGUAAAGAACGAGGGAGCUCUAAGACAUGAGGCUUUAUAGAUUUAUAGAAUUUUUAAGAUAGAGCUUAGAAGCUUGUGUCUAUUUUUAGAGUUAGGGAGCUCGUAUUGACUCAGAGCUAAGGAGCUCGUAAUGAACUUGAUGUUCUGAAAUUUUAUUUUAUUAAUAUAUUAUAUGUACUCAGAAUGGGUUGUCUACGUAUCGUAAGUGGGAUCAAGCCUUGCUGUAGUUCACUUUUAUUACAAAAUAUGAGGUUCAUCAUGAACCGUGUUUUUAGCUUUUGAACUCCUUCUACUUCUUUUUAUCUUCCUCGCCUUCUUUUGGUGGUUAUACAUCCUGCUGUUGGAAAUUUGACGUAUUGAUGGUAGGUCGAUGCAACCGCUUUCAUUGUGUAUAUCCAAGGUGUCCCACGGAUAAUUUUAUAUAUAUAUGGGCAGUCGAUGAUUGUGAACUUAGUGUCCAACAUGACUCCACUGGCAUAGGUCGGUAGCCUUAUGGUUCCAAAAAGACUUUGUGAGAAACCGUUGAAGCUUGUAAGGGCUUGCCUAGAUGAUUUGAUUUAAAGGUUAGUUAGUUCCAUCUUCUCCAGUAUGUCUUUGUAGAUCACAUUUACUGACCUUCCAGUGUCUACUAAUGACCUGAUUAUCUCCAGUCCAUCAGCAUUAUCUAUAUCACCAAUGGGUUGUUAUGUGGCCAGUCUAGGUUCUCCACUUUUGGUCUGUGAAUUCAAUGAUUGUGUCAUCUUCUACCAUCUCUCUAGUCUUUGUGGAUAUAUAAUUUACUUACCUGCCAUAUCCCUUGAGUGCUCAUACGGAAUUAUCACAGAAGGGGUUUCCUUUUAUUAUCACGUUACCUCUCUUUCUUGGGUUUGUGGUCAUGGUAUUUCCGAGCUCUUGGUCUACCGAUCUCUCUUUACAAUAAAUUCUUUGGAUUUUGGCAUAGCUUCCUUGAAAUGUGCUCAUCCUUCUUGUUUGAUCCAAAAACGGUGUUUAUGCUGGUGUUGUUUGUUAGAAUCAUACAAUAAAGAAUCUAAUGAUAAUGAUUAGAUUCUUGAGGUUUAGGAGAAAUCUUCAUAGAAUCAAAUGAGAAAAAGAACAUCCAAAGAUCAUUGAAUCUAGACAGAAAAAGAUCCAACAGACAUGAUUGGACAAAGUACUGAUAAGAGUUUUAAUAGACAAUGAUGAAUCCACACGAAUUUAAUAUAUGGAUUUGAUGCUACUGUCUUACCGAGACUGUCUAAAAGUACAUAAUUACAGGUAAAAAAACAGAUCAAUGAUUAUUCCUAGUGAGGAGUGAAUGUGACGUUUGUUUUUUCUUUUUCACAUGUUUGAUACAAAUAGUGGGAGUUAGAGAAACCAUAAUUUUUCACAUACUUUUCCUCUAUACCUCUAUAGUAAGAUACCCAGUCAUACCCUUUAAUAUACAUGAACCAUGAUAAUGUUCUCCGUUUAACAUCUAAUGUAAUCUUACUGUUAUUUUCUGAUUUAGAUUAAUUCUUAUGUUAGAUUUUCAAUGUACAUUUUGAUCCUGAUUUUUAGUACUAUAGUUUACUAAAAAUCAACAUAUGAGUGCAGUGGUGGAGUAUUUAAACGUAUACUAUAUUAAAAGCUUGGAGUAUAAGUUGUGAGGGUCCGUUGGGUCAUUUUCUGUAUGUUGUAGGCUUGUACCCCAAAGCUCAAAGUCACAAAAAUAGAUUUCAUUAAAGAAGGUAAAUAUACACUUAUACCCCUUGGGUUAAUUAAUCCCAACCUUAAGCUUUAAAGUUAAAGGGUGGAGUUUUGGAAUUAUGGUUUAAAAUUUUAUAAAAUAAAAAAUAAAUACUAAAAAAUUAAAAAUAAAAAUAAAAAAAAAACAGUUUCAAAAAGAAAAUAAAAACAAAUUCGAAAAAAAAAUUAUAAAAAAAAUUAUAAAAAAUUUCGAAUCUGAAAACAUAUAAUCUGAAACUAUAAAAAAAAUUUCUUUUUUCUUUUUUUUUGAAAAUCGAAAAUUAUGUUUGAAACUAUUUUUAAUUUUUUUUUAUAUUUUUUAUAUUUAUUUAUAUAUUUAUUAGAAUCCUAAAUUUCAUAUUCCAAAAACCCUACUCCACCCCUCAACUCUAAACCCUAAGUCUAGAUUAGUUAACUCUAGUGCAUAAGUGUCUUCUACCCUCCAUUAAAAGUGAAAAUAAAAGUGAUUAGUGUAGACAUGAAAAAUAAUACUAUGAAAUGGUAUUUGUGGCAAUUUCCCUUUUUAGGUGCACUUAAAGCUUGGUUUUAGUUGUUAAUGGUGAUUUGAGUAUUUAUGAUGACAAUGACAGUAAAAAUUGAAUAUAUAAGUGAUGAAAAUAAAAAUGUACGAGUAAAACAAGUAUUUAAAAAAAAAUAUAGAAAAAAUCAAAGUAAUUACAUUUUCUUUAAUAAAAGGCAAAUGAAUUUUUUAAGUUAUUUUUUUACCACAAUUUUAGGUCAUAUUUGAAAGAAUUCAUUUAUAUCUUAAAAUAAGUUUAUUUUAAGAAAUUUAACAUCCUAGCUUAAUAUUUUUAUAUUUUACAAUAUUUAUAAAUAUGUAUCAAUAACAAUUAUCAAACAAAAUAGAAGUAAGUAUCAUAAAAUUAUAUAUUUUUAACUUUUUCGAUCCAUUUCACACAAAAAAAUAUUUAGUUAUAAAAAUAAUAGUUUAUUAAAAAAUAAUUUCACUAUAGUUAAGAAAACAAAAUUGUUCCCAAAAUUAUUUGAACCAAGUUUAUAUGAAUAGAACAUAAAAUAAUAAAUUUUGGUAAAAAUAUUUUUCAAAUAUAUUUAUUUGCUACAGUAUAAUUUAUCUGGAAUAAAUAUCUAAGACAUCUUACCAACCAAGUAGAAUUCGUCACUUCUAUCAAUCUAUAUUUGUUUCAUUCAGAAAAGACUGGAAGCUCUCUUUUUUCCAAAACGUGGAACACAUGACCUUUUUUUUAUUGGUUAAAAAUAUACGUGGUCCAUAUUUUCUUGGUUUUCAACUCAGACAAAUCUACUAUUUUUAUCCUUUCGACACCGUUGUAACUAGGCCUGAGACUUUUAUCCGAGAUCCGGGAUUUGAUCUGGAUCCGAUCCAAAAACCUGGAUAUCCAAAAUGGUUGAAUUUGGAUCCGGAUAGUAAAAUGUUGGAUCCGUCAAAGCCAAAUUCAGAUUCAGAUAUCUUGAUUUUUUAGUCCGGAUAUUCAGAUCCAUAAGUUUUAUCAAUAACUAUUUUAAAAAUAGUAAUAUAUAGAUAUAUAAAAACGAACUUUAUUUAAUAUAUUUUCAUUUUUAUAAUAGUAUAUGUAAAUUAUAUGAAAAUUUUAUGUAAUUUUUUUAAUAUUAUACAUAGAAAUAAUUAAAAAAAUUAUUUUUUUAUUUUUUUAAAUUAUUUUAAAUAUUUUAUAUAUAUUAAUAUUAUUUUUUUAUUUUUGUGAAGGAUCCAAAUCCGAAUCCGGAUAUCCGCCGGAUAUUACAAUUUUGAGAAGGAUAUCGGAUAUCCGGAUAUCCGAAAACCCCGGAGUCAGAUAAAAAUAGUAAAAUUAUGGAUCCGCCGGAUAAGGAUCCGGAUCCGGAUACCUUAAAGUUGCCCGGAUACCAAAUCCGUUCCAGGCCUAGUUGUAAAUGUUCCAUAUGUUGAAAAUAAUUUAUUUAAUAAUGUUGUUGUCUUAUUAACUUGGAGAUGUCCAAAUCCAUGGAUUUGCAAAUGGACCCGAAAAAUAAAACCAUAUUCACGUAAUUAUCUAGGAGUAAUGUGAUUUAGUUUCGCGCAUCAGCUGAACUGAACUUGAAACGUGUUAGUGUUGUUCCAGCCUCAUCCUCUUACCCCCUCACCACGUUAUCCCAAACUUUAAUAAUGUUUUCCUCCUCAUGUCUUAUCUUUGAGAGAGUUUUAUAUUAUAUAUAAUAAUAAGAGAAAACUUUUAAAAUACUUAAUUUUCAAAAAAUACACUCAAUAGAAAAUAUUUUAAUAUUUAGUUUUAGAGUUUAUUGAUUAUUUUUUUAUGAUUUAGUAUUUAUGGGAUGUGAUUGAAUUUAUAAAUUCUAUACAUACUAGAGUCUUUGGCCGUGCUACGCGCAGAAAAUAGUUUUUAAAUAUAUUAUAUUUAGGAUGGAAAUAUUUGCAAAUAUGAAAAUUUAGUGUAAUUAAGAUUUGAUUGGAUUUUGGAAAAAACAAUUUAUCGGCAGAGAGAUAAAAUUAAAGAAAGAAUUGAUGAAAAUAGAUUUGACUGCACUUAUUAUAUCCGAGGGGAUAAUAUAAUAGCUUGUUAGGAAAAGAAUAAACAAACAAAAAGAGGUUGGAGAGUGUUUUUUUGUUUUUGGCUAUAGCUUUGAUUUGUCUUAAUGUUUUAUGUCUCGUUGAACAGGUGAAGUUACUCUUAACUUCAUUCUUUGGUUGACUUGGUAUUCGUCCUUUGAAGUGCUUGCCUCCGGUGGUCGUUUUCUCCUUUGCCGUCGAAGGGCUCUCCUCCUCCAUGUUUCUCCAUUUUCCUUUGCUUCAUUUUUUCUCCUUAGCCGCUCUCCGAUAUGUGGUUGUCCCUGGAGCUCGAACGUCCGCCGGCGGAGGAGCCUAGGCCGAUUCCGGCGGUCGUUUCGUUCCUCUGGUGACACUGGGAGGCUGGUGUGCAAUGGCGGGAGGUUGGAGUCGGUUCUUUGGGUAGGGUUUAGUCCGAAGCCAUUUUUCCUUUCUUAGAUCUAUGGCGAAACUCUGUGAUUGACGGCGCGUGGUUACGGUGGAGGGCUCCUCCGUCCCGGAUCUAUUCUUUCUUCUGGCGGUUCUUAUCUAUUGUUGUCCUGGUUGAGUGGCUUGACGGCGCGUCUUUCUCCUUUGUGUGAGGCGUCUCGGCGAGGUCUCACCUCUAUGGUGCAUCUGAGGUCUUCCGGGUUCGUCGUGUGUCGUCUCUGGCAGCUUCUCGUUUGAUGUGUGCGGCCACGACUAGGCUGUCGAUUCAGAGUCGUCUAUGGCUUCGAUUCAAUUUGUGCUCGUGGUGCUUCCGUCUUGUUCUCCUCUAGCCUCGGCGCUCCCUCCGGUUCUAUGGGUCCUUCUCGGCUGUUCUUCAGAUGUUAGUUUAUGUUCCGUUUGCAAGUCGGUCAGCGUCUUGGUUCUUACUUCUAUUCAAAGAUAUUGGGCAUUGUAUCAGAGGUCUCCAGUUCGCGUAACUGCUGAGACAAAACUAAUAUUACAUGCUAUAGUUUCGAGUAUGGGGGUUUGCCUCUGAACCUCCUAGUAUUCAAAANNNN